rnacentral:rRNA from 1 species
UACGGAGGGUGCGAGCGUUACCCGGAUUUACUGGGUGUAAAGGGCGUGUAGGCGGUCUUUCAAGUCCGAUGCUAAAGACCGAAGCUCAACUUCGGGGGUGCGUUGGAAACUGUGAGGCUAGACGGUCGGAGAGGGUAGCGGAAUUUCCGGAGUAGCGGUGAAAUGCGCAGAUACCGGAAGGAACGCCGAUAGCGAAAGCAGCUACCUGGACGAUUUGUCACGCUGAGGCGCGAAAGCGUGGGUAGCAAACCGG